UUGACCCUAGAAUGAAGUGGGAGGUAUUGAUAUAUUAUGUUGGGUAUAUUCGAUGACAUUGGAAUGCUAAACCUAUAUGGAUAAAGGACAUGAUAACUUUGCUGAUUUUGAUGUUAAUUUUUUUUACAAAGAAAAGUUGGUUUGGAAGUUGUCUAAAUGAUUGUAAGGUAAAUCGAAGGUUAACUCAAAUUAAUUCUAGAUAUAUUGAAUUCUUGAGGAGUGGUGAAGCUUAUGUAAUAAGUUCAAACAUAGAAGGUGGAUGAAGAUUUAAUUUUGAUGUGCUAUGCCUAAGAGAUAGUAAU
rnacentral:lncRNA from 1 species